UACGAAGGGGGCUAGCGUUGCUCGGAAUCACUGGGCGUAAAGCGCACGUAGGCGGCUUUUUAAGUCAGGGGUGAAAUCCUGGAGCUCAACUCCAGAACUGCCUUUGAUACUGAGGAUCUUGAGUUCGGGAGAGGUGAGUGGAACUGCGAGUGUAGAGGUGAAAUUCGUAGAUAUUCGCAAGAACACCAGUGGCGAAGGCGGCUCACUGGCCCGAUACUGACGCUGAGGCACGAAAGCGUGGGGAGCAAACAGG
rnacentral:rRNA from 1 species